rnacentral:tRNA from 1 species
GGGUGGAUAGCUCAGUUGGUUAGAGCACCAGCCUUACAAGCUGGGGGUCGUAGGUUCGAGCCCUACUCUACCCACCA